AUACGGGGGGAGCAAGCGUUAUUAGGAUUUAUUGGGCGUAAAGGGCGCGUAGGCGGCUUGGAAAGUCAGAUGAGAAAGCCCGGGGCUCAACCCCGGAAGUGCAUUUGAAACUAUCAGGCUUGAGUAUGGGAGAGGGAAGUGGAAUUCCUGGUGUAGAGGUGAAAUUCGUAGAUAUUAGGAGGAACACCGGUGGCGAAGGCGACUUCCUGGACCAAUACUGACGCUGAGGCGCGAAGGCGUGGGGAGCAAACAGGAUUAGAUACCCCAGUAGUCC
rnacentral:rRNA from 1 species